UACGGGGGGGGCAAGCGUUGUUCGGAAUUACUGGGCGUAAAGGGCUCGUAGGUGGCCAACUAAGUCAGACGUGAAAUCCCUCGGCUUAACCGGGGAACUGCGUCUGAUACUGGAUGGCUUGAGUUCGGGAGAGGGAUGCGGAAUUCCAGGUGUAGCGGUGAAAUGCGUAGAUAUCGGAAGGAACACCAGUGGCGAAGGCGACUUCCUGGCCCGUUACCGACACUGAGGCGCGAAAGCGUGGGGAGCGAACAGG
rnacentral:rRNA from 1 species